rnacentral:piRNA from 1 species
CCAGCGAGCCAGGGAGCGAGGUAACCCUU